CCCCCUUCUUUCCCUUCCUCAACUUUUCCUCUUUUCUUCUUCGCUUAUUGUUUCUCCUCCUUUAUUCUUUUGCGUUCGUCCAUAUUCUGUUUCCCGUCAAUAUUCUAUUUUUUCCCUUUUUUUUGUCUAAUUUUUGGUGGUUUGAUUUUUGGGACAGUCUAACGAUGGUGCUAAAGGUUACGGCGCUUUGUCCAUGCAAGGGUUGGGGCAGACUAUUGAAGAAUAAAGGUUCCAUUUUUAUCUAUUUUUCUCUUUUUUUGUCUAAUUUUUUGUGGUCUGAUUUUUGGGACAGGUUAACGACGGUGCUGAAGGUUACACCACUUUGUCCAUGCAAGGGUUGCAACAAUAGGACUCGAGAUUACUGCUCUGUUCUUUUUCAUUUUUUUAAGAAAAUUAUCUUCUGUCAUUUUUGCUACAAGAGUUGUUGCUGAUUUUUUUUUGUUUCUAUUCUGUUCUUUUUUGUUUUUUUUAAAUGAUCUUCUAUCAUUUUUGCUAUAAGAGUUGUUGCUGAUUUUUUGCAACAAUAUGAUUCAUAGGGCGGUGUUGAAGAAUAAAAGUUUCAUUUUUAUCUAUUUUUUCCAUUUUUUUGUGGUAUAAUUUUGUGUGGUUUGAUUUUUGGGACAAGCUAACGAUAGUGCUGAAGGUGUUGAAGAAUAAAGGUGUCAUUUUUUCCCUUUUUUAAAAAAAUUAUCUUCUGUCAUUUUUGCUACAAAAGUUGUUGCUGAUUUCUUUUUGUUUCUCUUCUAUUCUUUUUGUUUUUUUUUUAAAAGAAAUGAUAUUUUGCCAUUUUUGCUACAAGGGUUGUUGCUGAUUUUUUGCAACAAUAUGAUACGUAGGGCGGUGUUGAUGAAUAAAGGUUCCAUUUUUAUCUAUUUUUUCCCGUUUUUUUUUGUCUAAUUUUUUGUGGUAUGAUUUUGUGUUGUUUGAUUUUUGGGACAAGCUAACGACGGUGCUGAAUGCGUUGAAGAAUAAAAGUGUCAUUUUUAUAUUUUUUCCCCCUUUUUUUAUAAAGUUAUCUUCUGUCAUUUUUGUUGCAAGAGUUGUUGAUGAUUUCUUUUUGCUACUAAAGUGACAACGGCGGUGCUGAAGACAUUUUCAAGGCAGAGUUGAUAUAUUUUUAUGGGUAUCUUGGCUGAGAUCCUAGACUUUGUAAUAGGGAAAAGUUUGAUUCGAAAUAUGAUGAGUUAGGCGUCAUUUUACACUCCCAUAAUUGCAACAGAAGGUGUUCUAUGUUAUUUUUAUUAUGUAAAGGACAAAUAUAUUAUUUUGAUUGGACCAAUUGCUAUUUGAUAUAAAAUACACGGCCACUGUAUUUUCAAUGGGAGCUUAUGGAUCAGAAAGCAGGGGAUGACUAAUGGCCAGACAUGCUUACAUGAAGCUCAUUUUAUGUGUUCACCUGCUACACCAUUAUGAUAUAUGCAAUAUGUUAUGCACAACUGAAUAUUUUUAUUUAUGUGUUGUAUAGCUUGGUUUCUCAACCCGAUUUAUGAAU